rnacentral:rRNA from 1 species
UACGAAGGGUGCAAGCGUUAAUCGGAAUUACUGGGCGUAAAGGGUGCGUAGGCGGUUCGUUAAGUCUGUCGUGAAAUCCCCGGGCUCAACCUGGGAAUGGCGAUGGACACUGGCGAGCUAGAGUGUGUCAGAGGAUGGUGGAAUUCCCGGUGUAGCGGUGAAAUGCGUAGAGAUCGGGAGGAACAUCAGUGGCGAAGGCGGCCAUCUGGGACAACACUGACGCUGAAGCACGAAAGCGUGGGGAGCAAACAGG